GAUUCUAGCUGGUUCGUACUUGUACCAUAAACACGUCUAGACUAUGAACUCGUUUCUUUACCAGCUCCAGGAUUUUACAUAGUGCGAUUGCUCAUGACCAAGAUUAUUGCCAUGACAAACAGCCAACCCCAUCUUAUCACAUACUCCGGAUUUCCUUGAUUAUUGUUACAGAAGUAUUUUUUGCACGAAUUUAAUGAAUCAUUUGUAUGCAUUAGAGUUGCUUGUUACUGCUGUUGCUACUAGUUCAUGACUAGUAUUUGUUCGUUUCUCAAAAUUGUAUUAGCAGUUGUUCCAAAAUAGAUACUAGUAGCACAGGUAGUGGCAAAUUCUGGGCAUAAUUGAUUUCCAUCGUGAUAACCUGUCACAUGUAGACCUUUGUUGCUAAAUAUAAGACGUUUUGGGAGUAUAUUAGUGGCGGGCAACGACCCCCCUGAAACCACUGUCGCAAUGUAGAGUCAGACCAUGGCCAGCGAAAACUAAAUUGAAGAUUGAUCCGAUCUGUUUGACCAAUCCUCUUUCUGCCAUGGAUCAGGUUGUGGGCGUCAGUACAGCUACAGCAGAAUGAAGUGCAUAUGAUGGAGCAACCAUCAGGCUUUGCUGUCCAAUCUAAACUCAUCAGUACAACGGCGAACUUGAGUUAGGGUGGAAAGCCAUUGUAGAGACUUGGUGGAGGCUUCAUCUGAGGGCUGUAUAGGAGAGGAGGUAGUCUGUGCGCGUGCGCGCCUCUCAACUAGGUUAGAUUGAGACGCCUAAGACGCGUCUUUCUGGAUUUGAAAAAGGAAAAAAGAAAGACAUACCCUUUUGUUGCGGGAAGCUAGUGUCGCGGUGGCAGUUCAGCUUGUAUGCACUUCGUUAACCGGAGCUGCAUGUCCUUAUGCAUUCCACGUGGCUUUGUUCUUUAAGGUUUGCUCGCCUGAGCUUCAGGAAGCCAUAUAAGCGAUGCGUUGUCUGUCACUAUUGCAGACAUGUCAGCUGAAAGUUUAGCAUAAACUGUUUAUUUUCUG